CCAUGAAAUCUUGAAUUUACAUAUUUAAUAUUUAUGGAGUAGAUGGAGCAACAACUACAUUAGUGUAAAGUUAUGAGAAAGAAAUAUGUGAGCUUUCAAUGAGGUUUCUUAUGUCCUUUUUAGAGAACAAAUGGUUAAUUCAAUCAAUUACUACCCUUUAAUCCUUCGUUAGUUGGGGUUUGCUAUAUAAAUCCUAAUGUAUUUCUGUUCAUUCUGGUUGAUAUAGGGAGCAUUUCUCUCCACGUGCCAGUCCAUUAGAUUAAAUGUUUCUAGAGGAUAUAUUAAAGUUCAUACAGAGGAAAGUAGAAUCAUUACCAAAAUAUUUAUUAUAUCAAGUGCCAACAAUUUCGUUCUACGAAAAUAUUUGGCCAGUUGAUCGAAGUGCAUAGUUUCCAUGUGUUUCUAAAUUUCUCAUAUUCUAGGAACUUAGCUUGAUUUCCAUCAAACCAAGUGAUGCGGUUAGAAAAGAGAAGUAGGACCCCUAGUGACUAAAGCUUUGAUUUUAGUUUUGGUGUGAUCCUUGAAAGUAGCUAAAAUUAGGUAAUCAAUAUGAAUUUCCUUAAAUGGACCCUUCUUUCUUAAUUAUCUUCUUAGGAGUUGGAAAUGUCAUUAAGAUCUAAAGAUAGAUGGCAAAGAAUAUUUUAUUUUGAAAGCAACAGUAUUGUUGCCUCUAAUAGUUGUAGGACGGACUCAUAGAUCUUGGAACAUAUAUGACGGCAAGGCCUAAGCAUUAAACUAUGUGUAAUGUGAAUCCCCCCUUUUUACCGUACAAUGUAUUCUCACCCCGUCAACCUCCUCAAUCCUCCUCCUUUAUGGGGGACUUGGGCCAACUGUUCAAGGCUCAGGUAGGUGAAGUUGAUUCUCUUGUUGAGGAUUUGGAUCUUGCAUUUAAUUCUAGAUCAUCAUUUUCAUCAGAGGUUAGGUUAAAUCAGAUUCUAAUUCAAAUAAAGCUCUUUGUUCACAUAAUCUUUCUGGACUUCUUAAAGCUGGGGUGAAGUUGCUACCCACUAUUAUGUAUAUUCUAGUUUGCUUGGUGUUAGACUAUCAUUUGCUUAAAAGACUUCUGGAAUGAGAACAUGUAUCCUAAAUAGCAGUUAGGCCAAAAAUGUCUGUAAUCGAAAGAUAAAAUUUAUUUUAAUGGUAAAAGUGGAAAGGAGAACAGAAAAAAUAUAACAGUACAUAGUUGUUACUGGAAUUGUCUGGAUUUGAACGUUGUUUGCAUGCUUCCGGACGCUUCCAAAACCAGUUGUCAAUAUUGGUAAUAUGUGUCUAAUGAGCGGUGGCCUCUGAGACGUGUACGCAUAUUACUCUGCAUGAAUAGAGUGCAUCAGUAGUUACUAGAAUAUAAAUAUGGGUGCAUUGCCUGCAUAUUAUCUAUCUUCCAAGGUAUAGUGAGUGAGGAAACAACUUCGUGGUCAUUUAGAGGGGAGUCUGAGAUUUUCGGGAGAUCAAAGAUUUCAAGAUGUUUGUUUCGUGGAGCUUGAGCCAGCAUUCAUCAGUAGUCUCAUAAAUACGCAGAGAAACAAGGAGGCAGCUAAGGUCUGGCUAGGUGAAGUAGUAAAGUUAACUUGGGAAAGUUUUAUCUGCUGAAAACUUUCAUCUUAUUAGCUAGACUGUGCUGUUUGUUUUUGAAGCAACAUGAACCACCCUCAUCCAUAUGGUGAAGAUCAUUUAUACACACAGGAUGAACCCACUGUCAUGGGCUUUGAAGUUCCAAGAUCACCCGAUGCAAGUUACAACAAUGUGUAUCCUGGGCAUAUAGAUGAAGGGAGGGAACCACCGAUGGUACCGCCACAUUUGCAUCACACCUUGCUAAACCACCCAGCUACAGGAGAUGAAUCAACCUCCCUCCCAUUGCCACAGAACGCUGUGCUAAACCAUCUGUAUAUUGAGAACGGAGAAGUCCCGAGGUCAGUUGUAGCACUUGGUGUAACACACCGUUUUCGCUCAAAAUAUGUAACGGUCGUGCUUUACAAACCCGUCCAAAGAAAAUGAGGUAGCAUACCAACCAUGCCUGAACGUACGCACCGUCUUUGGCUUGUGGUCUGACGAUAGCAGAGGUAAAUACACAGUAAGUUCUGCAGUGGAGAAUGUUUAUUUCUUCCCAGCUACUAGUAGUAGGAAAAUGUGGUAGCAGGUACCCUUGGACUUGAAUAAUUGAAGUUAGAUGUUCAAUAGUUUUAAAAAGUUUACAUGUAUUAUGGCAAAAAGUUAGUGAUGUCCCUGUUAGUAAUGUUUAUUUCUUCCCAGCUACUAGUAGUAGGAAAAUGUGGUAGCAGAUACCCUUGGACUUGAAUAAUUGAAGUUAGAUGUUCAAUAGUUUUAAAAAGUUUUGGCAAAAAGUUAGUGAUGUCCCUGUUA